AUUGAACGCUGGCGGCAUGCUUUACACAUGCAAGUCGAACGGUAACAGGGACUUCGGUCUGCUGACGAGUGGCGAACGGGUGAGUAACAUAUCGGAACGUGCCCAGUAAUGGGGGAUAGCUCGGCGAAAGCCGGAUUAAUACCGCAUACGCCCUGAGGGGGAAAGUGGGGGAUCUUCGGACCUCACGUUAUUGGAGCGGCCGAUAUCAGAUUAGCUAGUUGGUGGGGUAAAGGCCUACCAAGGCGACGAUCUGUAGCUGGUCUGAGAGGAUGAUCAGCCACACUGGGACUGAGACACGGCCCAGACUCCUACGGGAGGCAGCAGUGGGGAAUUUUGGACAAUGGGCGAAAGCCUGAUCCAGCCAUGCCGCGUGAGUGAAGAAGGCCUCGGUUGUAAGACGUCUUUCAGGUGGAAGAAAGACGG
rnacentral:rRNA from 1 species